rnacentral:rRNA from 1 species
GACGAACGCUUGCGGCGUGUCUAAUACAUGCAAGUAGGACGCAGUUGCGAACGUGUGAGUAACGCGUAGGUAACUACCUAUUAGAGGGGGAUAACUAUUGGAAACGAUAGCUAAUACCGCAUACUAGUAGAUGGACCUGCGCUAUAUUAGCUAGUAGGUAGGAUAAUGGCGUACCUAGGCAACGAUACAUAGCCGACCUAAGAGGGUGAUCGGCCACACUGGGACUGAGACACGGCCCAGACUCCAUCGGGUGGCAGCAGUAGGGAGUCUUCGGCAAUGGGGGGAACCCUGACCAAGAAACGCCGCGUGAGUGAAGAAGUGGUUCGGAUCGUAAAGCUCUGUUGUUAAGGAAGCGGUACUUAACCAGAAAGGGACGGCUAGCUACGUGCCAGCAGCCGCGGUAAUGC